GUGGGUUUGUAAGUCGGGCGUGAAAUCCCUCGGCUUAACCGAGGAACUGCGUCCGAAACUGCAUGGCUUGAGGACGGAAGGGGAAGGCGGAAUUCCUGGUGGAGCGGUGAAAUGCGUAGAUAUCAGGAGGAACGCCGGUGGCGAAAGCGGCCUUCUGGUCCGUUUCUGACGCUGAGGCGCGAAAGCUAGGGGAGCAAACAGGAUUAGAUACCCUGGUAGUCCUAGCCGUAAACGAUGGGCACUAAGUAGAGGGG
rnacentral:rRNA from 1 species